ACAGCACACAGGGAACAGCAGUGAUGGGCAGUAACGCGUUAGAAGUAACGCGUUACUGUAAUCCAAUUACUUUUUUCAAGUAACGAGUAAAGUAAGGGAUUAC